UUCGGUGACAGUGGCAAACGGCUGAGUAAUGCAUGAGAACUUACCCCAAAGUUAGGCAUAGCCACGAGAAAUCGUGGGUAAUUCCUAAUGGUCUCUUCGGAGUAAAGCUUUAGCGCUUUGGGAUAGGCUCAUGUCCUAUCAGGUUGAUGGUGGGGUAACUGCCUACCAUGCCGAUGACGGGUAGCUGGUCUGAGAGGAUGUCCAGCCAGACUGGGACUGCGACACGGCCCAGACUCCUACGGGAGGCAGCAACUAGGAAUCAUGCGCAAUGGACGAAAGUCUGACGCUGUGACGUCGCGUGCUGGAUGAAGGCCCUAGGGUUGUAAACAGCUUUUAUUGGGGAACAAGUUCUGAGUGUACCCAAUGAAUAAGUGCCUGCUAAUCACGUGCCAGAAGCAUCGGUAAUACGUGAGGCACAAGCGUUAUCCGGAUUUACUGGGCGUAAAGAGAUGCGUAGGCGUCCUAGUAAGUUUCUAGUUAAAUCUUCCUGCUCAACGGGAAACAAGCUAGAAAAACUAUUAGGAUUGAGUUUGGUAGAGAAGGGGGGGAUUCCUGGUGGAGCGGUUAAAUGCGUUGAUAUCAGGAGGAACACCAAAUGCGAAGGCACCCCUUUGGACCAAUACUGACGCUAAGGCUCGAAAGCGUGGGGAGCAAAACGGAUUAGAUACCCGUGUAGUCCACGCCGUAAACGAUCCCUGCUAGAUAUUUGAA
rnacentral:rRNA from 1 species